rnacentral:rRNA from 1 species
GAAGCGCAUACGGUGGAUGCCUUGGCAGUCAGAGGCGAUGAAAGACGUGGUAGCCUGCGAAAAGCUUUGGGGAGUCGGCAAACAGACUGUGAUCCAGAGAUCUCUGAAUGGGGGAACCCAGCCAGCACAAGCUGGUUAUCUUGUACUGAAUACAUAGGUGCAAGAGGCGAACCAGGGGAACUGAAACAUCUAAGUACCCUGAGGAAAAGAAAUCAACCGAGAUUCCCUUAGUAGUGGCGAGCGAACGGGGACCAGCCCUUAAGUUGGUUUGAGAUUAGUGGAACGCUCUGGAAAGUGCGGCCAUAGUGGGUGAUAGCCCCGUACACGAAAAUCUCUUAUCAAUGAAAUCGAGUAGGACGGAGCACGAGAAACUUUGUCUGAAUAUGGGGGGACCAUCCUCCAAGGCUAAAUACUACUGACUGACCGAUAGUGAACUAGUACCGUGAGGGAAAGGCGAAAAGAACCCCGGAGAGGGGAGUGAAAUAGAUCCUGAAACCGUAUGCGUACAAGCAGUGGGAGCCUACUUUGUUAGGUGACUGCGUACCUUUUGUAUAAUGGGUCAGCGACUUAUAUUCAGUGGCGAGCUUAACCGAAUAGGGGAGGCGUAGCGAAAGCGAGUCUUAAUAGGGCGU